rnacentral:rRNA from 1 species
UACGAAGGGUGCAAGCGUUACUCGGAAUUACUGGGCGUAAAGCGUGCGUAGGCGGUUCGUUAAGUCUGUUGUGAAAGCCCCGGGCUCAACCUGGGAAUUGCAGUGGAUACUGGCGAGCUAGAGUGUGAUAGAGGAUGGUGGAAUUCCCGGUGUAGCGGUGAAAUGCGUAGAGAUCGGGAGGAACACCAGUGGCGAAGGCGGCCAUCUGGAUCAACACUGACGCUGAGGUGCGAAAGCUAGGGGAGCGAACGGG